UACGUAGGGUGCGAGCGUUGUCCGGAAUUAUUGGGCGUAAAGGGCUCGUAGGCGGUUUGUCGCGUCGGGAGUGAAAUCAUCUGGCUUAACUGGGUGCUUGCUUUCGAUACGGGCAGACUAGAGGUAUGCAGGGGAGAACGGAAUUCCUGGUGUAGCGGUGAAAUGCGCAGAUAUCAGGAGGAACACCGGUGGCGAAGGCGGUUCUCUGGGCAUGACCUGACGCUGAGGAGCGAAAGUGUGGGGGGCGAACAGG
rnacentral:rRNA from 1 species